GAAGACCGCUGGCGGCGUGCUUAACACAUGCAAGUCGAACGGUGAAGCGCCUUCCUUUUUGGUGGGUGUGGAUGAGUGGCGAACGGGUGAGUAACACGUGAGUAACCUGCCCCCUUCUUCUGGAUAACCGCAUGAAAGUGUGGCUAAUACGGGAUAUUCUGGGUCUGUCGCAUGAUGGGUCUGGGAAAGAUAUUGUUUCGGUGGGGGAUGGGCUCGCGGCCUAUCAGCUUGUUGGUGGGGUGAUGGCCUACCAAGGCGGUGACGGGUAGCCGGCCUGAGAGGGUGGACGGUCACACUGGGACUGAGACACGGCCCAGACUCCUACGGGAGGCAGCAGUGGGGAAUAUUGCACAAUGGGCGCAAGCCUGAUGCAGCGACGCCGCGUGAGGGAUGGAGGCCUUCGGGUUGUGAACCUCUUUCGCCAGUGAAGCAGGCCUGCCUCGUUUGUGGGUGGGUUGACGGUAGCUGGAUAAGAAGCGCCGGCUAACUACGUG
rnacentral:rRNA from 1 species